CUAGACUUUGAAAAAAGCGGAAAUAUUUUUAUGAUGUUCAAUUCCGAAGGAAAAUCAGAUUUAAUUAAGAGUUGGCUGCAUGUUGUGUCAGUCAUGUAACCGGCAUAUUCAUCUAUGUGCAGGAGUGAUGGCUGAAUACAGAAUUAUUUGUUAGUUGGACAACAGUGAACGAUACAGGUAACUGUACCAUUAACCGGAUAUAUAUGCAACAAUGGUGCAAGAAUCAGCAGUGUGUCUACAUUAGUUUACUACAGACUCUCGGGAUAUUAAGAUCUAGCUCGGGGAAGAAAAAUUUUGAUCGGGUCACAGCAUGCUGAUAGAGAUCCUCAGCUCAUAUCGUAGCCAGGGUUUAGCAGUGAGCUGACUCAGAAGAUGCCAUUUAGUGAUUUAAUGUGGAUAAUCCAUUCAGAUCAUUCACCAAUGAUGUACAACACUGAUGGAACUGAAGGCAAUACUUGCACUGACGUUCAGGGCUGGUUAUUUAAAGUAUAUAUAAUUAGAUGUACCUCCUGAUGUACCUCCUUAAAUACGAGAUUUCUGCCAUGUGAAAGGAGCAAGUUGAAAGACACACUGUUGGAGAUGGGGUCCAUGAACCUUAUGUAUACAGCUAUAUGAACAAGGGCUGGAACAAAGCGGACAAGACUGGACUUUUAAUUGUUAAUGAAUAUUUUAAGUUGUAUGUCACCAGUAUAAUAGGGUUAUUAUAAAAGUAGUUAGAUCUUGGAUGUGGUAUUUGGCUUGGAGUGCAUUUUGCCAGACCUGGAACACACGAGGCCUGCAAAGGCAAAGUCUGACCCGCUGUGGUAAAAUCGCCAAAGGCUUAAUACAACCUCCCAGAUCAAGCUACUGUUACAAUCGUACUUUAAUUUUUUAUCUCCAUGUACUAAAAAUCAUUUCACAAAAAUACCGUAACGUUACAGGUGAUAUAUUAAAUUUGGUACGCCUUUAAAGUUUAAAUUCAUGUUGUUGUUCUUGUUUAUACACAAUUGAUUACCACGCCUUGUUUACAUAUGGGAUUUAUUGUUUGAAAGCGAAAAAAAAAUGUUUAAAAUGAAUAAGAAAAUGUCAUUAUAAAAAACUUGCACUUUUAUGUUAAGGGAGUAGUGAGAGGAAAUUUUCCUUUUUUGUUGCUCAACCUGAUCACAAAGUGCUCAGGGGUGAGUAAUUGUUAUCACUCAUUGCAUGUCUGUCCGCCUGUCCAUACUUUUCUUAACCUACAUGUCUUAAAUCAUUUGGUACAGGCAGAUGAUGAAACUUGGCUUGGAUGUCCUAUAGAUAUUCCUGCCUUUCCCUAGGGAAAAACCUUGUCUAAAGUAUCGCGCACUUAGGCGAGGGUACCAACGUAUCCUAUGGGAUUCUGCAGAUGUUUUAACACAAACUGAACAUGCGCUAACGCUAUUCUAGCAUAUAACACGUAAAAACGAAUAAAUGAAUAUAUUGUUGCUCAACGUUAUUGAAUUUCCAUGAAAUGCGUGGGAAUGUAGGAGCUUUUGGUUAGCUUUAAUGGUGAGCUUUUGUGACAACUCAGUGUCCAUUUUCCGUCCGUCAACAUUUACUAAAAAAUCUUCUUGAAAACCACUGGGCAGAUUUACGCCAAUUUUGAUGAAACUUCGCAGGAAUGAUCCUUAGUAGGCCCCCUUUCAAAAUUUUUCAAAAAAUUGAAUUACACACAGAACACUGGUUACCAUGGCUACCAAAAGGAAAAACUUUAAAAAUACUCCUGUCCAAAACCACAAGGCAUGUGACAUCAUCUAAUGGACGUAUUAUGUUAUGGUCCGGCUGUCCGUCCGUCCAUUAGCAAUUUCGUGUCUGCUCUGUAACUCUUGAACCCCUUGAAGGAUUUCAAAGAAACUUGACACAAAUGUUCACCACACCAAGACGACAUGCAGAGCGCAUGUUUCGGAUGUCUCAUUUUAAGGUCAAGGUCACACUUAGGGGUCAAAGGUCAUAUGAGUGUGUUUCGUGUCCGCUCUGUAACUCUUGAACUGCUUGAAGGAUUUAAAAGAAACUUGGCACAAAUGUUCACCACACUGAGACGACUUGCAGUUUGUUCAAAUCAUAACCCCGGGGUCAAAAUUGACCCUGCCCGAGGGGUCAUAUGAUUUUACAUAGGAAAAUCUUAAAUAAUCUUCUUCUCAAAAACCAGAAGCCCUACAGCUUAGAUAUUGAAAACAUGUAGCAUUGCCUAGUGGAUCUCUACUUAAGUUGUUCAAAUAAUGACCCCGGGGUCAAAAUUGACCCUGCCCCAGGGGUCACUUGAUUUUACAUAGAUUUCUAUAGGAAAAUCUUUCAAGAAACUUCAAAUAAUUCUGAUUCUUCAAAAACAUUGUUGCCAGUGAGCGUGGUCACUUUUCCCUUCAUGUAUACCGUACUUGUCCAAAUUAUUGCCUUAAGGUAAAAGAAAUGGCCACACCCCUGUGUCUGACAUGUACUUAUUAUAGGCUUUUAUAUUAGAAACUUUGAAAAUAUUUUUCUCUGAAUCAGUAAUAGCUAGAGCCUUGAUAUUUGGGGCGUGUAAUAUCAGUUUUGUAAUGUCUACUGCAAUUGUUCAGAUUAUUGCCCUAGGUUCAAAAGUGUGUUUGACAUGUGUAUAAUAUAGGCUUGCACAGAAGAAACCUAACUCUGAUUUAUACAAAGACACUUGUACAAAGGUGAGCGCUUUAGGGUCAAUGACUCUCUUGUUAUUUAUUAAAGAUUAUUGUCUUAAAAACAAGCUGAAAUUUAUUAACUUCUAGCCCCAGUUUCACAAAAACUUUAUUAAUUGCUUAGCUAUGUCUGUUAUUUUAGAUGCAUGUUUUUGCCCUUUAUGUGUCUUUAAUGUUAACUUUUUUUAGCUCACCUGAGCCAAAGGCUCAGGGUGAACUAUUGUGAUCGCUCACCGUCUGUCCAAACUUUCCUUUAAACUACAUCUAGUCCUAAACCACCAGGUCAAUUUUGAUGAAACUUCACAGGGAUGUUCCUUAAAUGGUCUUCUUUAAAAACUGAAUUUAUACAGAACUCUGGUUGCCAUGGCAACUGAAUGGAAACACUUUAAAAAUCUUCUUGUCAAAAACCACAGGACCAAGGACUUUGAUAUUUGGCAUGUAGCAUUGCCUUGUGGUCCUCUAUU